UAGCUCAGUUGGUAGAGCAUCUGACUUUUAAUCAGAGGGUCGCUGGUUCGAACCCAGCACGGCUCA
rnacentral:tRNA from 1 species